rnacentral:rRNA from 1 species
CAGGUUUACCUGUGUGACUGCGUACCUUUUGUAUAAUGGGUCAGCGACUUAUAUUCUGUAGCAAGGUUAACCGUAUAGGGGAGCCGUAGGGAAACCGAGUCUUAACCGGGCGUUAAGUUGCAGGGUAUAGACCCGAAACCCGGUGAUCUAGCCAUGGGCAGGUUGAAGGUUGGGUAACACUAACUGGAGGACCGAACCGACUAAUGUUGAAAAAUUAGCGGAUGACCUGUGGCUGGGGGUGAAAGGCCAAUCAAACCGGGAGAUAGCUGGUUCUCCCCGAAAGCUAUUUAGGUAGCGCCUCGUGAAUUCAUCUCCGGGGGUAGAGCACUGUUUCGGCUAGGGGGCCAUCCCGGCUUACCAACCCGAUGCAAACUGCGAAUACCGGAGAAUGUUAUCACGGGAGACACACGGCGGGUGCUAACGUCCGUCGUGAAGAGGGAAACAACCCAGACCGCCAGCUAAGGUCCCAAAGUCAUGGUUAAGUGGGAAACGAUGUGGGAAGGCCCAGACAGCCAGGAUGUUGGCUUAGAAGCAGCCAUCAUUUAAAGAAAGCGUAAUAGCUCACUGGUCGAGUCGGCCUGCGCGGAAGAUGUAACGGGGCUAAACCAUGCACCGAAGCUGCGGCAGCGAACGUAUCACCCAAGACAACUUUACGGAGUUGACGAUUGACGGAGCGAAGCGACGUCAAAGCGUUCAUUAAAGUCGAGUUGGCUUAGGGAUACGUUCGUUGGGUAGGGGAGCGUUC